rnacentral:lncRNA from 1 species
AAGGCAAAUACAGAUUUUUGACUAUCUAUGUGAAAUGGUAAGAUCAGAUAUAUAACAACAAUUUGGCAACAACACAUUUCUGGCUAGCCAACCAUGACAUGAUCUAUGACAAUGGUCGUACCAACCACAGUGGUCCUAUCAGAUAGUCUAUAGCCAUGAAAGUACUUUGCCAAAGGUGACUCCUAUCAAAUAAUUCAGAUCACCACUCUCGUCAUAGGGUACAUUGUCAUCCACAAAU